rnacentral:rRNA from 1 species
UACGUAGGGUGCAAGCGUUAAUCGGAAUUACUGGGCGUAAAGCGUGCGCAGGCGGUUGUGCAAGCCAGAUGUGAAAUCCCCGGGCUCAACCUGGGAACUGCAUUUGUGACUGCACAGCUUGAGUGCGGCAGAGGGGGAUGGAAUUCCGCGUGUAGCAGUGAAAUGCGUAGAUAUGCGGAGGAACACCGAUGGCGAAGGCAAUCCCCUGGGCCUGCACUGACGCUCAUGCACGAAAGCGUGGGGAGCAAACAGG